rnacentral:rRNA from 1 species
UACGUAGGGUGCAAGCGUUGUCCGGAAUUAUUGGGCGUAAAGAGCUCGUAGGCGGUUUGUCGCGUCGGCUGUGAAAGCCCGGAGCUCAACUCCGGGUCUGCAGUCGAUACGGGCAGACUUGAGUGUUGCAGGGGGAGACUGGAAUUCCUGGUGUAGCGGUGAAAUGCGCAGAUAUCAGGAGGAACACCGGUGGCGAAGGCGGGUCUCUGGGCAACAACUGACGCUGAGGAGCGAAAGCGUGGGGGAGCGAACAGG